CAUUAAGAAGCUAAACCGGGUCUAGCAUUAGCCUUUAGCUAAAAACUGGUGACUCCCAACCACCCUUAAUGA
rnacentral:tRNA from 1 species